AGACGGAGGGGGCGAGCGUUGUUCGGAAUUACUGGGCGUAAAGGGCGCGUAGGCGGCCGGCCAAGUCAGGGGUGAAAGGCCUGGGCUCAACCUGGGAACGGCCUCUGAAACUGGCGGGCUUGAGGGCGAGAGAGGAUGGCGGAAUUCCCAGUGUAGAGGUGAAAUUCGUAGAUAUUGGGAAGAACACCGGUGGCGAAGGCGGCCAUCUGGCUCGCAACUGACGCUGAGGCGCGAAAGCGUGGGGAGCAAACAGGAUUAGAAACCCCAGUAGUCC
rnacentral:rRNA from 1 species